rnacentral:rRNA from 1 species
AGAGUUUGAUCCUGGCUCAGAUUGAACGCUGGCGGCAGGCUUAACACAUGCAAGUCGAGCGGGGUGAUGUACUUCGGUACUGAUCCUAGCGGCGGACGGGUGAGUAAUGCUUAGGAAUCUGCCAUUUAGUGGGGGACAACAUUCCGAAAGGAAUGCUAAUACCGCAUACGUCCUACGGGAGAAAGCAGGGGAUCUUCGGACCUUGCGCUAAAUGAUGAGCCUAAGUCGGAUUAGCUAGUUGGUGGGGUAAAGGCCUACCAAGGCGACGAUCUGUAGCGGGUCUGAGAGGAUGAUCCGCCACACUGGGACUGAGACACGGCCCAGACUCCUACGGGAGGCAGCAGUGGGGAAUAUUGGACAAUGGGCGGAAGCCUGAUCCAGCCAUGCCGCGUGUGUGAAGAAGGCCUUUUGGUUGUAAAGCACUUUAAGCGAGGAGGAGGCUACCUGGAUUAAUACUCUGGGAUAGUGGACGUUACUCGCAGAAUAAGCACCGGCUAACUCUGUGCCAGCAGCCGCGGUAAUACAGAGGGUGCGAGCGUUAAUCGGAUUUACUGGGCGUAAAGCGUGCGUAGGCGGCUUUUUAAGUCGGAUGUGAAAUCCCCGAGCUUAACUUGGGAAUUGCAUUCGAUACUGGGAAGCUAGAGUAUGGGAGAGGAUGGUAGAAUUCCAGGUGUAGCGGUGAAAUGCGUAGAGAUCUGGAGGAAUACCGAUGGCGAAGGCAGCCAUCUGGCCUAAUACUGACGCUGAGGUACGAAAGCAUGGGGAGCAAACAGGAUUAGAUACCCUGGUAGUCCAUGCCGUAAACGAUGUCUACUAGCCGUUGGGGCCUUUGAGGCUUUAGUGGCGCAGCUAACGC